rnacentral:rRNA from 1 species
GAUGAACGCUGGCGGCGUGCCUAAUACAUGCAAGUAGAACGCUGAAGCUUGGUGCUUGCACCGAGCGGAUGAGUUGCGAACGGGUGAGUAACGCGUAGGUAACCUGCCUGGUAGCGGGGGAUAACUAUUGGAAACGAUAGCUAAUACCGCAUGACAACAGUUAUUGCAUGAUAACUAUUUAAAAGGGGCAAUUGCUCCACUACCAGAUGGACCUGCGUUGUAUUAGCUAGUUGGUGAGGUAACGGCUCACCAAGGCGACGAUACAUAGCCGACCUGAGAGGGUGAUCGGCCACACUGGGACUGAGACACGGCCCAGACUCCUACGGGAGGCAGCAGUAGGGAAUCUUCGGCAAUGGGGGCAACCCUGACCGAGCAACGCCGCGUGAGUGAAGAAGGUUUUCGGAUCGUAAAGCUCUGUUGUAAGUCAAGAACGAGUGUGAGAGUGGAAAGUUCACACUGUACG